rnacentral:lncRNA from 1 species
CGGCGCCGUUGGUAAAUGGCAUCCUCGUUUAUAUCGUAUCUUCUUGAUAUUCAUUAGCUUGAAGUACAGUAACGUAUACCAUGGUCUUUAAUUCCUGUUUUCCUUUUUACGUUUAAUUUCUUGUUUUUCUUCCAGCCGUUGAUGAAGUAACCACAUUCGAUGCAUGAUCUUGCAAAAUGAGAUUGGAACAAGUUUUCCUAUCUGCUUUUCCCCUAGAACUAGGAGAUUUGAAGUAGGUAAAUCUAAGGUAGAAGGACAGCUA